rnacentral:piRNA from 1 species
UGCCAACUACAAGGUCAUAAAGUCCA